GACAGAGGGUGCAAACGUUGUUCGGAAUUACUGGGCGUAAAGCGCGUGUAGGCUGCCCUGCAAGUCGGAUGUGAAAUCCCCAGGCUUAACCUGGGAACUGCAUCCGAUACUGGUCGGCUUGAAUCCGGGAGAGGGAUGCAGAAUUCCAGGUGUAGCGGUGAAAUGCGUAGAUAUCGGGAGGAACACCAGUGGCGAAGGCGACUUCCUGGCCUGUUCUUGACGCUGAGGCGCGAAAGCUAGGGGAGCAAACGGG
rnacentral:rRNA from 1 species